rnacentral:rRNA from 1 species
CACGGGGGGCCUACGGGAGGCAGCAGUGGGGAAUCUUGCGCAAUAGGGGAAACCCUGACGCAGCAACGCCGCGUGGGUGAUGAAGGCCUUCGGGUCGUAAAGCCCUGUCAGGUGGGAAGAGUCGUACUGGCACCAACAGUGCUAGUGCUUGACGGUACCACCGGAGGAAGCACCGGCUAACUCCGUGCCAGCAGCCGCGGUAAUA